AAGGUGGACGAAGAAGAUGUGGUGUCGCACAUCCUUGCCGGGCUGGAGGAGGAGUUCGACCCCGUGGUGUCUGCCAUGUGCUCACGGGUCGAACCGGUGACUAUCCCGGAGCUGUACUCGCAGCUACUGAGCUUCGAGA
rnacentral:snoRNA from 1 species